UACGUAGGGGGCAAGCGUUGUCCGGAAUCAUUGGGCGUAAAGAGCGUGUAGGCGGCUCGAUAAGUCCGCUGUGAAAGUCCAGGGCUCAACCCUGGAAGGCCGGUGGAAACUGUCGGGCUAGAGUCCGGAAGAGGCGAGUGGAAUUCCCGGUGUAGCGGUGAAAUGCGCAGAUAUCGGGAGGAACACCAAUGGCGAAGGCAGCUCGCUGGGACGGUACUGACGCUGAGAUGCGAAAGCGUGGGGAGCAAACAGG
rnacentral:rRNA from 1 species